rnacentral:rRNA from 1 species
GAGGAAAAGAAAUCAACCGAGAUUCCCCCAGUAGCGGCGAGCGAACGGGGAGCAGCCCAGAGUCUGAAUCAGCUUGUGUGUUAGUGGAACGGUCUGGAAAGUCCGACGGUACAGGGUGAUAGUCCCGUACACCAAAAUGCACAGGCUGUGAACUCGAAGAGUAGGGCGGGACACGUGGUAUCCUGUCUGAAUAUGGGGGGACCAUCCUCCAAGGCUAAAUACUCCUGACUGACCGAUAGUGAACCAGUACCGUGAGGGAAAGGCGAAAAGAACCCCGGCGAGGGGAGUGAAAAAGAACCUGAAACCGUGUACGUACAAGCAGUGGGAGCACCUUCGGGUGUGACUGCGUACCUUUUGUAUAAUGGGUCAGCGACUUAUAUUCUGUAGCAAGGUUAACCGUAUAGGGGAGCCGCAGGGAAACCGAGUCUUAACUGGGCGUUAAGUUGCAGGGUAUAGACCCGAAACCCGGUGAUCUAGCCAUGGGCAGGUUGAAGGUUGGGUAACACUAACUGGAGGACCGAACCGACUAAUGUUGAAAAAUUAGCGGAUGACUUGUGGCUGGGGGUGAAAGGCCAAUCAAACCGGGAGAUAGCUGGUUCUCCCCGAAAGCU